rnacentral:rRNA from 1 species
UCGGGAAUAUUGCGCAAUGGAGGAAACUCUGACGCAGUGACGCCGCGUGCAGGAAGAAGGUUUUCGGAUUGUAAACUGCUUUAGACAGGGAAGAAAAAAGACAGUACCUGUAGAAUAAGCUCCGGCUAACUACGUGCCAGCAGCCGCGGUAAUACAUAGGGAGCGAGCGUUAUCCGGAUUUAUUGGGUGUAAAGGGUGCGUAGACGGGAAGAUAAGUUAGUUGUGAAAUCCCUCGGCUCAACUGAGGAACUGCAACUAAGCUGUCAUUCUUGAGUACUGGAGAGGAAAGUGGAAUUCCUAGUGUAGCGGUGAAAUGCGUAGAUAUUAGGAGGAACACCAGUGGCGAAGGCGACUUUCUGGACAGAAACUGACGUUGAGGCACGAAAGUGUGGGGAGCAAACAGGAUUAGAUACC